rnacentral:rRNA from 1 species
GAUGAACGCUAGCUACAGGCUUAACACAUGCAAGUCGAGGGGAAACGAUAUUGGAAGCUUGCUUCCGAUAGGCGUCGACCGGCGCACGGGUGAGUAACGCGUAUCCAACCUGCCCAUCACUUGGGGAUAACCUUGCGAAAGUAAGACUAAUACCCAAUGACGUCUCUAGAAGACAUCUGAAGGAGAUUAAAGAUUUAUCGGUGAUGGAUGGGGAUGCGUCUGAUUAGCUUGUUGGCGGGGUAACGGCCCACCAAGGCGACGAUCAGUAGGGGUUCUGAGAGGAAGGCCCCCCCACAUUGGAACUGAGACACGGUCCAAACUCCUACGGGAGGCAGCAGUGAGGAAUAUUGGUCAAUGGACGAGAGUCUGAACCAGCCAAGUAGCGUGCAGGAUGACGGCCCUAUGGGUUGUAAACUGCUUUUAUAAGGGAAUAAAGUGAGUCUCGUGAGACUUUUUGCAUGUACCUUAUGGAUAAGGACCGGCUAAUUCCGUGCCAGCAGCCG